AAAUCUGAAUCCAGACACAAGAAAGAAGAUUUAUCAUAUACUCUUCAAGUAAGUAGUGGGUAAUUUAACUUAUCCUAUCUAUAAGCCUUCAUACAAAGACAGAGUUUAUAUUAUUUUUACAUCCUUGAAAAUGGGGCACAUUAGGGAAACAAAUUUAAACUUGAUGCUGAUGUGAUUGAUCCAAACUAUAUUCAAUUCAAAGCAAAAUAAUCUUAAGCUAGGUUUCAAGCCUUCUUUAAUUUGUUAUAUCAAAAUUGUAGUAAGAUCUAUACAAGUAAUCGCAAUAAGUAGCUGCUUUUGCUUUCUGCAUAUAUGGUUUGUUGUAAGAUCGAUUGCUUGCAUUAUGUUGGAUGUAAAUAAUCUAAUACUGCUGGAGAGGAAUAUUUUUCUCGUCUUAGAUAAUAUUGCAAUUUCAAAGUUAGUGCCUCUGACCAUAUCCCUAAUGUCAACGUGGGUGUCUCUGACAAUGUAAGGAUUCAAGGUCUUUAGUACCAUAAGUUUUGUUCAGCUCCAUGUGAGACUUAAGUUUUCUGUAGACAGCGUAAGAACUCUGAGAGGGUUCAGAAGUCCUCAAAACUUUUUUCUAGUUGGGUUUUUCAGCAUCUACCUUUUGGUUUCAGUUUUGUACAGGAGUGUAUCCUUACCCUAAUAUCUAGGUUAAAAGUUUGAAUAAGGCACUACUGCCUUAAUAGAAGCAGUCUUGGCAAUGUGAAACUUUCGAUUUACGACGGACUUUAUCCUUAACGAGAAGAAAUCUUAGCAAGAAGUUAUGGAUAUAGUUGACAAGCUGUUUAAUCCUUAGGGUCAAAACAAGAAAGAUAUGGCUAUUGUGGAACGGAUGCAAGGCCUUUCUCACCAGCUCACCUGUUGCCCGGCAGGAAUAACAAAACUUAAGCAUUUUUAAUGACUCGACAUUUUGCCAUUUUGGCCAAGUUGGGUGCCUGCACAUAUGCAACUAGAUGUAAUCCCUAUCUUCAUAAUUAUGCUGUAAAGAAAAAACUGCACUUAGUCUUGGCUUGUAUCGACAGCGGUAGCAGGGAGAGUUGAGAUUGUACGAGCUCAGCAAUCUGCCAUUAUUCUAGAUAAAGGACGUCAUGAUUUAGAAAAAUGGUAAUCCAGAGAUUCGGCGUUUGUUUCUUUCAAAAUGGAUGCCAGUGCUAACGAUGCUAAGUUUUAGUUCAUAGGUGAGGUGUACUUCACGAUGCUGAAACUGGAAGAACCACGAGCCACAAUUGCCGUCUCAUUUGAGUUAGGUUAAGGCAAACAAAUGUGCGUUUAAGUUCUCUGGACUGCACAAAAAAGAAGAUAAUGAAGCCGGGAGGAAAUUCUUGUAGACAAAAUGCAAGGGUAUUAAACAAGUGCUAACUGCUAACCUCAUCAUAAAUUCACUCCAAGCAUCAGGGCGCUUCCGCAGUGCAUUGACAACAGGCCAGUAUUCAUUGGGCUGCAAUCCAUAUUUUGCAAGAAUGUCUGCCACCUCAGCUGCCUCUGUGACAACAUUAUAAAAUUUAAUGUGAAUCAAUGAUAUAUCAGAUCAUGUAAAUCUUACUUCUGUAACAACACAACUCUCACCAGUGUCUGGUACAGACAUUAUUUCUUCUUCCUCACGACUUCGCUCCUGCACAUAAUGAUCAGAUUCACUUUUUGCUGCAAGAUAUCUGCAACUCUCAAUAGUAAGAAUGAUGGAGGCAAGAUGAGAAACUAAUGUCAGACAUUAAUGCAUGUCAAUAGAAACACAGCAUAUCCCUUGUUCUUC